AUUGAACGCUGGCGGCAUGCCUUACACAUGCAAGUCGAACGGUAACAGGUUAAGCUGACGAGUGGCGAACGGGUUAGUAAUGUAUCGGAACGUGCCCAGUCGUGGGGGAUAACUGCUCGAAAGAGCAGCUAAUACCGCAUACGACCUGAGAGCGAAAGCGGGGGAUCGCAAGACCACGCGCGAUUCGAUCGGCCGAUUUCAGAUUAGGUAGUUGGUGAGGUAAAGGCGCACCAAGCCGACGAUCUGUAGCUGGUCUGAGAGGACGACCAGCCGCACUGGGACUGAGACACGGCCCAGACUCCUACGGGAGGAAGCAGUGGGGAAUUUUGGACAAUGGGCGCAAGCCUGAUCCAGCCAUGCCGCGUGCGGGAAGAAGGCCUUCGGGUUGUAAACCGCUUUUGUCAGGGAAGAAAAGGUUCUGGCUAAUACCUGGGACUCAUGACGGUACCUGAAGAAUAAGCACCGGCUAACUACGUGCCAGCAGCCGCCGUAAGAC
rnacentral:rRNA from 1 species